rnacentral:rRNA from 1 species
CUACGGGUUGCAGCAGUGGGGAAUAUUGCACAAUGGAGGAAACUCUGAUGCAGCAACGCCGCGUGGAGGAUGACACUUUUCGGAGCGUAAACUCCUUUUAUAUAGGAAGAAGAUGACGGUACUAUAUGAAUAAGCGCCGGCUAACUCCGUGCCAGCAGCCGCGGUAAUACGGAGGGCGCAAGCGUUACUCGGAAUCACUGGGCGUAAAGAGCGUGUAGGCGGAUUAAAAAGUCAGAAGUGAAAUCCUAUAGCUUAACUAUAGAACUGCUUCUGAAACUCUUAAUCUAGAAUAUGGGAGAGGUAGAUGGAAUUUCUGGUGUAGGGGUAAAAUCCGUAGAGAUAAGAAGGAAUACCGAUUGCGAAGGCGAUCUACUAGAACAUUAUUGACGCUGAGACGCGAAAGCGUGGGGAGCAAACAGGAUUAGAUACCCGUGUAGUC